rnacentral:lncRNA from 1 species
UCGCUCGAAUUAUUCCCGAAGAUGCGAUCGAUGCCUACAUCAGCAACAAGUCUAAGAUCAGUGGGAGUAGUUAGCAAAUUAACAUUCUGCUUACUAUCUCCCUCUUGCAAAGACACAGUAGAAGCCUAGGGACAAAGUUUUAUCUCGUAGAAAUGAUACAAAAAAUUUAGCGGUUCCUCAUUGCCCCAUAGUAUUAAACCCAAC